rnacentral:rRNA from 1 species
UUCUACGGCCAUACCACCCUGAAAGCACCCAGUCUUGUCUGAUCUUGGAAGCUAAGCAGGGUCGGGCCUGGUUAGUGCUUAGGAG